GAUGAAGAACGCAGCGAAAUGCGAUACGUAAUGUGAAUUGCAGAAUUCAGUGAAUCAUCGAAUCUUUGAACGAACAUUGCGCCCGCCAGUGUUCUGGCGGGCAUGCCUGUCUGAGCGUCAUUUCAACCCUCAUGCCCCUAGGGCGUGGUGUUGGGGAUCGGCCAAAGCCCGCGAGGGACGGCCGGCCCCUAAAUCUAGUGGCGGACCCGUCGUGGCCUCCUCUGCGAAGUAGUGAUAUUCCGCAUCGGAGAGCGACGAGCCCCUGCCGUUAAACCCCCAACUUUCCAAGGUUGACCUCAGAUCAGGUAGGAAUACCCGCUGAACUUAAGCAUAUCAAUAAGCGGAGGA
rnacentral:misc_RNA from 1 species